AUCGAGACGACGAGUCCCAAAUAGGACGAAACGUGCAUCCUGGAU
rnacentral:hammerhead_ribozyme from 1 species